UACGGAAGGUCCGGGCGUUAUCCGGAUUUAUUGGGUUUAAAGGGAGCGCAGGCCGAUUGGUAAGCGUGACGUGAAAUGUAGCCGCUCAACGGCUGAACUGCGUCGCGAACUGCCGGUCUUGAGUAUGUUCGAUGUAGGCGGAAUUCGUGGUGUAGCGGUGAAAUGCUUAGAUAUCACGAAGAACCCCGAUUGCGAAGGCAGCCUACAAGGCCAUUACUGACGCUAAAGCUCGAAGGUGCGGGUAUCGAAC
rnacentral:rRNA from 1 species